UACGUAGGGUGCGAGCGUUAAUCGGAAUUACUGGGCGUAAAGCGUGCGCAGGCGGUUUUGUAAGUCAGAUGUGAAAGCCCCGGGCUCAACCUGGGAAUUGCAUUUGAGACUGCUCUGCUCGGGUGCGGAAGAGGGAAGCGGAAUUUCCGGUGUAGCGGUGAAAUGCGUAGAUAUCGGAAGGAACACCAGUGGCGAAAGCGGCUUCCUGGUCCGACACCGACGUUCAGGCACGAAAGCGUGGGGAGCAAACAGG
rnacentral:rRNA from 1 species